rnacentral:siRNA from 1 species
GGCAAUGUGGUGUAUUAUGUCUA